UCUUAAUUCAUUUUUAUGUCA
rnacentral:piRNA from 1 species